ACUGGUUACUGUUUAGUUUAUGAGAAGCUGUGUGAUCUUUUUUGGAUGUUUGAUUCUUCAACCCUUUAAGAAUUGAAGGUUGCUUUCACAUCCGCAUCCUUUUCACUUAUUACUUUGACAAAUAACUGACAUUUUUGAUUGGUUUAGGUAUCAUCUUUUUACCACUCAUUACUUUUAAAAUCUUCUUUUUUUUCUUGUUCCUAGACUAGUGCAGUGCUUUCUUUAAUUUUCGUAACUUUUUUUUGUACCUUAUUUGAUAUAUACUUCAUUUAAUUAGUAGCAAACAAAAUAGUCUGUUGGUAAACCAUUAAAAUUUUGAAGGGUCAUUUGCCAGUGGAAAUUGGUACCCGUGAACAGUGCUCUGCACUCAGAACAGUAAUUGGUUUUGGAGGUGUAACUGGAGACUAAAAACUUGAACGAUUAUAACCUUAUCUUGCAGGGUAAAUGGAAGAACGCUACUAGAUGGAACACUAUUUUGGAACCUUUAAAUGUGGGGCCAUUCCUUAGAGUUUAGUUGAUGAAACCAGAAUUAAGGUAUGCUUGCAGCUUGUAUAAUACAAGUAUCCUUUUCGUUUUUUUUUUUUUUUUACAAAUCUAUCAUUUCCUUUGUAGAGUGCAUAUAUAUCUCUAUGUCAGUGUAUGUACCGUAACGAAUGUUUUUGGAUUGCUGGAUUGCUAUUGCAGCCAUUUGUAGAGAACUUGUCCAAGUGCCCAUGGUCUUCACAAUCCGUUCAAAGCACCAGAGAUAUUUGUGUUUAUUACCAUUCUAUUUCUAUGUCCUCAUUUAUCUUUAGGCAUCAUUUGUUCUCUAGAUUACUCGCAUAGAUUCAUGUAAUGGUAGAGGACAGCAAGAUUUUCAUUAACUCUUCCCUUUUGAAGAACUCGACAGUGAUAUUUUGCAACAA